rnacentral:sRNA from 2 species
GGCAAUUGAAUAAGGCUUUGGAGUGGUCGUUCGCCCCCUUGCAUGUUUUUGCUAACGAAAGGGGGUGAGGCCUUGACAGUAUUUGAAACGCUAGUUGUCACGUUUGCAGCAGCAAACCUACUCGUUGCCAUACUGUCGUAUAAGAAAGACAAAUAACCACUCCUAAGCCCGGGAAGCUAGAGUGGUUAUUGGAAUCACUUAGGCGAACGCCCCUUUAGGGCAUUCAAUUGCCGCUGGCCUCGGUGUUCGCGCACCAGG